CACCUUCAACUCACUGGGCCAGGAGCUCUGACAACAAUCCUUUGAAGCAGGUCACUUGAAGGACUAUCCUAUUUUUUUUUCCAAAAACUGGGACACAGAGUUCCCCAUGAUCAACUUCUGCACAGUCUGGACAGCUUUCUGGCAGCAGUAGAGAAUUACAGGGCAGGCUGGAUGAAGACUCUCAGCUGACAAUGUGGACAUCUCAAGACAGGCACUGGACAAUGGCUGACAGACUUGUAUGAAGACUGGAAAUGUUUUGCUAUCUCACAGGAAAAGAAGGCCCCUCCCACUACACUGUACUCUAAGGAC
ensembl:lncRNA